rnacentral:rRNA from 1 species
UGGGGAAUCUUGCGCAAUGGACGAAAGUCUGACGCAGCGACGCCGCGUGGGGAUGACGGGUUUCGGCUUGUAAACCCCUGUUGCCCGGGACUAAACGCUUCUUUCGAGGAGCUUGACGGUACCGGGUGAGGAAGCACCGGCUAACUCCGUGCCAGCAGCCGCGGUAAUACGGAGGGUGCGAGCGUUGUCCGGAAUCACUGGGCGUAAAGGGCGCGUAGGUGGCGGAGCAAGUCAACGGUGAAAGCUCGACGCUCAACGUCGAGUCGGCCGUCGAGACUGCUUUGCUUGAGCACUGUAGAGGCAGAUGGAAUUCCGGGUGUAGCGGUGGAAUGCGUAGAGAUCCGGAAGAACACCGGUGGCGAAGGCGGUCUGCUGGGCAGUUGCUGACACUGAGGCGCGACAGCGUGGGGAGCAAACAG